rnacentral:rRNA from 1 species
GGGCCCGCACAAGCGGUGGUGCAUGUGGUUCAAUUCGACGCAACGCGAAGAACCUUACCCAGAUUUGACAUGCUCGUAGUAAGAACCGGAAACGGGGAUGAGUCCGCAAGGACAGCGAGCACAGGUGCUGCAUGGCUGUCGUCAGCUCGUGCCGUGAGGUGUUGGGUUAAGUCCCGCAACGAGCGCAACCCUUGUCUCCAGUUGCCAACGGGUCAAGCCGGGAACUCUGGAGAGACUGCCCAGGAUAACGGGGAGGAAGGUGGGGAUGACGUCAAGUCAGCAUGGCCUUUAUAUCUGGGGCUACACACGUGCAACAAUGGCCGGUACAAAGGGCUGCAAACCCGUAAGGGGAAGCCAAUCCCAGAAAACCGGCCUCAGUUCAGAUUGAGGUCUGCAACUCGACCUCAUGAAGGAGGAAUCGCUAGUAAUCGCGGAUCAGCACGCCGCGGUGAAUACGUUCCCGGGCCUU